CACCCAGAACUGCCCACAGUACUGGAGGUGGGGCUGCACCAGCGCAGUGUCAAGUGGGACAAUCACCUCCCUCGACCGGCUAGCGAUGCUGUGCUCCAUGCACCCCAGGACACGGUUGGCCCUUUUGGCUGCCGGGGCACACUGGUGACUCGUGUUCAACUUGCCAUCAACCCGAACCCCCAGAUCUCUUUCCAGGGGGCUGCUCUCCAGCCUCUCAUCCCCCAGUUGGGGGAAUGUUCCAGUGUAGCUGUUCAGCUAGAGAAGCAAUUAUGAUUUUGAAAUUAAUUGAAAAAUCAGGUAAGGUUAACUGAUUUUCUGGGACCCCUGCACUUAAUCAAAACUAUACGGAGUGAUGGGGCACAUGACAGUUGGAAAGAGACUGCAGCAGCUUUUCCUGCACAGGACCUGUGGAUGGAUCCCCGCCGCGGUGUUCAGGUGUUGCCAUUAAGCAUUUCUCCCUUGUGUCCACUAGAGGUCUCGCCUCCAUUCACGUACGUACAACCCCAGUGCCCGCCUUUCUCCCCCAGUCCUUGGGUAGCGAGCGCAACCUCCGAUUUACUCUGCACCUCGAGUGCACAAGACAUGAGUGGAGACAGGCCCUGAAGGUCCUGUGCACCAAGUAGACAAACCAAACAGAUUUCUUCAACCCCUCCCCACCGCCUUCAAGGUUCCAGGCACCCGGCCAAGCCGGUGUUGUCGAUGACCCUGCCACAGAACAGGAAAGCGUAACAGCACCCAGAGCACUGUCUGUAAAACCAAGCAGUUACAAGUCCUAAGGGGAAACUUGGACCAGAACUGCUGCUGGACAGUGAGACCAGGACCCUGCAGUGGCCAGGGACACCUCCACCAUCAUCUGCUUCCUCUGAGGAUGGACGGAGUGACUCGUAUUCUUUUAUACGAUUUUUGACUCUAGGUUAUGAUUGUUAUGUUGAUACAGCAAACCAGAUAUUAAGAUCCAACCCGAUCUGCAGAGGGACCACGUGAUUAGAAAUGGUAAGUUAAGUUGUAUUAGAAAUUCUGUAUUAUGCCACUUAUAAAUUGUACUACAUUGAUUCUGCUUGGAGAAAUCCUGUGCCAUUCUAAUCACACAUUCUGUGCUAUACUAAUCAUAAAAUCCUGUUACGAAAAUAAAGCUUUAAUUGUAACUACAA